AAUGCCACACUGCAGAUUCCCUGGGAUGCUCGCGAAAGUCCCCUCUGCAUUCCCAAUAGAAAGGAAAAAUAAAUAUUCUUCAUGUUAGCAGUUUUGGAAACUGGUCUAAACUGUCUAGGAUGCCCACGGGAGCCAAUGCCUUUGCAGGAAGUGCCUUUGCUGGCUGCUUCUAUCAAUUAUAUCCUGAGCCUCUGACAUACUCCGCAGCAGGAGGCCCUUUGCGGGGGACAGAGUGGCUGUAAUUUACAAGACACACACAGCUUUGCAUCAAGAGAAGGGAGUGGGCAAGAGGACAAGGGCAGGACGGAGAGGAGCACCCUGCAGCCUCCAGACAGAGGACUGAUUAAUGCCCUGAAGAACAGGUUGUCAAAUGGCCUGGAUGUCUUGAGCCUAAUUUACCAUCAGGGAAGGCAGACACUCAGGGAGGCGGACCGCUGGUCACAUCUGGAAAUGACACAGCUACAAGUUCCUUGGUGCAGCCAUUACACAACUGGACUUUCAAGAAAAUAAUAUCAGAAAGGCUCCCCACAGGCCCAAAUGUCUUCCCCACCCUCACCCUACAAACCACAGGAGAAGAAAGGAGAAAGUCAACAUGCCUCUUGGAGCGUUAGUUGCUUUCUCACAGAUAGUUAUGGGAAGGAAAAACAGAGAGGCCGUUAUAUUCACGGCUGUGUAGAAAGCCAAGAAUCAAACCUUGGACCAAGUGCAAGAGCUGGGAGCUGAAUGGCAUGGCCAGUUUGAACAGUGAAAACCAGGCCACCCAGGGCUGUGCUUGGCCAAGCUCGUCCCGAGGAAGCUCAGGGUGAAGUGACAGGCUGGCUCUUCAGCCAGAAAUAAAAAUGAGGAUAUCAGCUGGAUGGACAAUUCUAUUGGUUCCCAUCAAGUCACCAUAUCUCAUUUUCUGGUCACUUAAAGUGAAGCUUCUGAUGGCGAGCAGAAGAUAUAAACCAACAGAGACUAGCACAUCUACAUUCUCCUUUCUUGGGCUCUAAUUAACAUUGUCUCUGCUUUUCAUCUAGAAUCUCAGUCCCUUGUGCUAACUGCUACUGAGUUACUCUAGUUAAAGUAUGUUAAUGAAGGGGUGAGAACUACUAGCUUCAUGAAAUUUUGGGAUUAUUUUACUCAUCUUCCUCCUAUCCCCCUUUCUCAGACAUAACAAGAACCAGCUAGGACUGGUGGAUGACUUAACAGUUUCUGAGAAACUCCAGAUGCUUCUCUUUUACUGCUCAACAUUUUCUGCUCCCUUUGUGAUUUGUAAGGUGGCUCACCCUGAUCUAGAGGGCUUUAGGGUUCUACUUUUCCAGCCUGCUCAGCCACUCUCCACCCACCACCCUCUGGUUGUGGAAGCUGUUCAUUCCACAAAUAUCUACUGAGCAUCUUCUGUGUGACAGGCACUGUUCUAGUUCACAACAUUCCAGAAAAAUCAACAAAUACCCUGUCUUCAUGGGUCUUAAAUUCCAGUAAAGAAGACAAAAAAUACACAGAAAAACACAAAUGAAUACAAAAUUGGAUGAUAAGUAUCAUGAAAAAAAAAAAAAACAUAAGGUGGGUUGAGGGACUAGAAAUUGAGAUGGUUGCUCUUUUAGGCAGAGAUCUUGCAUCUGCUUGCCCACCAUGCUCCCUCCCCUUUUCCCUUUCUUCCUGUAAUACCCCUCACCCCCUGAAACAGGAGUAGCCUGGGCCAGUCACGGUAUCACUUGCCCCUGAUCACAGUGACUGCUUCAGGAAUAAGGUCCACAUGGGGCCAGGGUACAUUACUAGGAAUUUUUUACACCUGGGGCCAGGGGACAGCAUUCCCUUGCUUUUCUGGGCAAGGAGCUAGAAGCAAGUAAUCCUGGGGAUGAUACUGGCCACGCUCCCUGUUAUAAGGGAAUGUUUGCCUAUAGGAAGAAAUAAUGAGUUUAAGGAGAGAUAAGAGAUGAGAGAAAGAUCCUGAAAUCUCCAGGGCCACCCUCGUCCCCAUGGGUGUCCCUUCAAUCUUAAUAUUCUUGUAGUAAAUCCUCUUUGUUCAGCUGAAGUGCCACUUCCUUUGGAAGGACUUUUCUGACAUAUCCAGUCUCAGUGAAAGGCCACUGUCACUGUGAUGUUAGAGAUCCUUUAAAAAAAAAUACAGCAGUAGCAGCAAUCUAUGAAUACCUACUACAUGCCAGACUUUAUGCCAAGGGCUCUACCUGGGUCACCUUUACUAUAGAACUUAACAAGUUGCACCCUAGUGAAUCAUUUUUAUGCACAUUUCACCCACUAGAAAAAUGAAUAUAAAAAUUUGUGGAUAAUCUCCUUUGUGAAAGAAAAAAAACUAAUUUCAAAUUUAUUUCAGCCUGCAUAUGUGCAGAAGAGAUUACAGUUGUCCCUCAAUAUCUGCUCUCCUAACAAAAAUGCCUACAGUUUUUAGCUGAAAUAAAGUCUACUUUCCCCAAGUCUUUGCUUGCAGCUAGAUAUGGAUGCAUGACCAAGUUCAAGUCUGUAAGAU
rnacentral:lncRNA from 1 species